rnacentral:rRNA from 1 species
UACGUAGGGUGCAAGCGUUGUCCGGAAUUAUUGGGCGUAAAGAGCUCGUAUGUGGCGGGUCACGUCGGGGGUGAAAGCCCGGGGCUUAACUCCGGGUCUGCAUUCGAUACGGGUCUGCUGGGGUCCGGCAGGGGAGACUGGAAUUCCUGGUGUAGCGGUGAAAUGCGCAGAUAUCAGGAGGAACACCGGUGGCGAAGGCGGGUCUCUGGGCCGGUACCGACGCUGAGGAGCGAAAGCGUGGGGAGCGAACAGG